rnacentral:rRNA from 1 species
GACGAACGCUGGCGGCGUGCCUAACACAUGCAAGUCGAACGGAAAGGCCUCUUUCGGGGGGUACUCGCGUGGCGAACGGGCGAGUAACACGCGAGUAACCAGCCCUUGACUUAGGGAUAACUUAAGGAAACUGGGGCGAAUACCGGACGGGAGCUCCUGCUGCCUGGAGGGGGUUGGAAAGUUUCGGGGGUUGGGGAUUGAUUAGCGGGUUAUCAGCUUGGCGGUGGCGUAGUGGCUUACCAAGGCCUUGACGUGUAGACGGCCUGUGAGGGUGACCGGCGACACUGAGACUGACAUACGGCCCAGACUCCUACGGGAGGCAGCAGUGGGGAAUCUUGCCCAAUGAGUGGCGGCCUGAUGCAGCAACGCCGCGUGCGGGAUGACGGCCUUCGUGUUGUAGACCGCUUUCGCUCGUAACGAAGCUUUGUGUGACGGUAGUGGGUAAAGAAGCACCGGCUAACUACGUG